AAGAUUUUAUGUUUUAUGUGUUUUUAUUCGUUGUUUUAUUAUCUUUCAUUAAGAAGCAUAUCAUGAAGUGUUCAUAUAUUUCACAAGGUUUCUGUUGUGCAAGCUGACAUUAACUCUACAACACAAAUAAGUUAGACAGGAAACAGAUGCAGCACCCAAACCACAAGAGUUGAAAAGUGCACCACAUUUCCUAGAGGAAGCAGCCAGACACACAUGUGACACACACACACCCACACACACAACCAUUGGUUUAGAGGAACUUGUAAAAGAGGAAAUGUGAUGUGCUUGCAUACGUGAUGUAACCUAUAAAAGAACUGUUGCCUGCACUCAGGGCGUGGGUCUCGCCAGAGGCCUCACCCGUGCGCGGGGUCUCGCCAGAAUCCUCACCCGUGCACGCUGCUGUUAUUAUAUUCUAACUGUCUGAGUGUCUUUAUUCAACCUGAAGAAUGUCUUAUUAAGAAUAAACUCUUGACAUUUAAUUGGUCCUUCGAGCCGGAUGUAGGACAUCGAAUUAUAACUAAUUUUAUGCUCCAACGGAGUGACCUCGUCGUUUCCUGACAUCGUGGAGAGCCCGCGCUGAAGUCUGUCGACAGCCUCUUUCCUAUGAAGGAGAAAAGACCAACUACGUGAAUUCGGGGUUGGCCAGCGUUCUUAGUAAGAGGUCCACGAUCCUGGGGAACGAGGAGGAAUCUCUGACCGGCACUUAUAUCAUCAUAACCAGUCUCUUCCAGGUUGAAACCAGGCGACUGGAUCCUGAUCAAGGUACUCCAGAGGAAAAACUGGAGCUCUCCGAGGUGGGAGGGCCCUUAUCAGGUCCUGCUCACAACACCGACAGCGUGCAAAAUCGCUGAAAGACCUUCGUGGAUCCACCAGAGCCACGCCAAAAAAGUACAAGGGGACACAAGCCCAGACGCCAGUCCACCUAUCAUCUAGUGAUCUGUAAGUGGAGGAGAGGGCAGAUUGGGUACAUCCCGCCCUCUUGACUUCUCGCUUUCAGUCGACACACUAGGUGAUCUGGUGAACUUGGUCGACCUGAAGAAACCCCAUUGUAGCCCGAGCACCGACCUGGCCCCACCUGCCCGGUAGAGUAAAGGAAGAUCAGUCCAACCUGCAAAACCAGAAGAGCAACCCAUCACUCAAGAUGUGUCCUCAUCCUGUGGAAUCAGAUCCAUGACCAUGGUCUGCCUAUGGAGACUUAGAGUCCCAGAAAAGCAGGGUGUAUCUUUUGUUUAUCCAAAUAAGACACUGCAACCGGAAUCUUCCUGGCACAAGCUUAUAGCCCGAUAGCAACUGAGGAAGAAGAAGACUGUGUUUAAAAAUUUCAGACACUUCACAUGAUGUAGCAAUUGAAAAUGCGGAAGCAAGUGAACGUCUACUGAAGUCUAUAGAGUAUGGGUGAAAUAUAUUAACAACAGGAGGGAAUGUUGAAAGAUUUUAUGUUUUAUGUGUUUUUAUUCGUUGUUUUAUUAUCUUUCAUUAAGAAGCAUAUCAUGAAGUGUUCAUAUAUUUCACAAGGUUUCUGUUGUGCAAGCUGACAUUAACUCUACAACACAAAUAAGUUAGACAGGAAACAGAUGCAGCACCCAAACCACAAGAGUUGAAAAGUGCACCACAUUUCCUAGAGGAAGCAGCCAGACACACAUGUGACACACACACACCCACACACACAACCAUUGGUUUAGAGGAACUUGUAAAAGAGGAAAUGUGAUGUGCUUGCAUACGUGAUGUAACCUAUAAAAGAACUGUUGCCUGCACUCAGGGCGUGGGUCUCGCCAGAGGCCUCACCCGUGCGCGGGGUCUCGCCAGAAUCCUCACCCGUGCACGCUGCUGUUAUUAUAUUCUAACUGUCUGAGUGUCUUUAUUCAACCUGAAGAAUGUCUUAUUAAGAAUAAACUCUUGACAACCUGGAAUCUGCUGUCUUUUAAAUCAUCACGGAAGACAGCAGAUUCCAGUAAUAAACCUGGAAUCUGGCUCUCUGUUUCCUGUCCUUAGGUUCUGUCAAGUACCUGGAGUGCUCAGCUUUGACUCAACGUGGCGUUAAAACUCUGUUUGAUGAGGCCAUCAGGAUUGCCCUGUCCCCUCCACCUAUCACCAAGAAGACAAAGAAGUGCUCUCUCCUCUAAUACUUCACUGAAACAGUGUAUUUCAGAUUCUGUCCUUCAGUGUGUGUAGCUGCAUCAGUUAUACACUUGUAAGGUCAAUUUUAGGAGACAUUGCUUCCUAACAGUGUAUACUGAUUUUUGGUAGUAGAAAUGUUUCCAGAUAGACUGCACACAUGCUGUAUUUUAGCCGAAAAGAAAUCCUUUGAUCUGUUGUCUCUUUAAAACACAGCUGACAGUCUGCUGCUGUUUCCUGCUCAACCACAUCAAGCAUUUACAAGUUAAAAACGUCACUUUUUCUCUAUGGAAGCAGGCGUGUCAACAAAGAGCUUGAACUAACCAUCUGUGAAGUUUGGAGUAACGUCUUUACUGGUAAUUAAUUUUUUGCUGUAUGGUUCAUGUUAAUUCACUCUCAUGGAGUAAAUGAAGCCUGAAGCAGAGAGAAAAUGAAUGUUGUAUAUGCUUAGCUUUAUGAAUAAAAGCUAUUGUGCUUU